rnacentral:rRNA from 1 species
UACGAAGGGUGCAAGCGUUACUCGGAAUUACUGGGCGUAAAGCGUGCGUAGGUGGUUUGUUAAGUCUGUUGUGAAAGCCCCGGGCUCAACCUGGGAAUGGCAAUGGAUACUGGCAGGCUAGAGUGCGGUAGAGGGUAGUGGAAUUCCCGGUGUAGCGGUGAAAUGCGUAGAUAUCUGGAGGAAUACCGGUGGCGAAGGCGGCAUCCUGGACCGACAUUGACGCUGAGGAGCGAAAGCUAGGGGAGCAAACAGG